rnacentral:rRNA from 1 species
AGCAUACAAUAAGCGGAGGAAAAGAAACCAACAGGGAUUGCCUCAGUAACGGCGAGUGAAGCGGCAACAGCUCAAAUUUGAAAUCUGGCCCUUUCAGGGUCCGAGUUGUAAUUUGUAGAGGAUGUUUCGGGUGUGGCUCCGGUCUAAGUUCCUUGGAACAGGACGUCAUAGAGGGUGAGAAUCCCGUAUGUGACUGGUAGCCUAUGCUCAUGUGAAACUCCUUCGACGAGUCGAGUUGUUUGGGAAUGCAGCUCAAAAUGGGUGGUAAAUUUCAUCUAAAGCUAAAUAUUGGCCAGAGACCGAUAGCGCACAAGUAGAGUGAUCGAAAGAUGAAAAGCACUUUGGAAAGAGAGUUAAACAGUACGUGAAAUUGUUGAAAGGGAAGCGCUUGCAACCAGACUUGCAUGUAGCUGAUCAACCGGUGUUCUCACCGGUGCACUCAGUUGCGUUCAGGCCAGCAUCGGUUUCGACGGUUGGAUAAAGGCCUUGGGAAUGUAGCUCCUCUCGGGGAGUGUUAUAGCCCAGGGUGCAAUGCAGCCUGUUGGGACCGAGGACCGCGCUUCGGCUAGGAUGCUGGCGUAAUGGUUGUAAGCGACCCGUCUUGAAACACGGACCAAGGAGUCUAACAUCUAUGCGAGUGUUUGGGUGUCAAACCCAUACGCGUAAUGAAAGUGAACGGAGGUGAGAACCCUUAAGGGUGCAUCAUCGACCGAUCCUGAUGUCUUCGGAUGGAUUUGAGUAAGAGCAUAGCUGUUGGGACCCGAAAGAUGGUGAACUAUGCCUGAAUAGGGUGAAGCCAGAGGAAACUCUGGUGGAGGCUCGCAGCGGUUCUGACGUGCAAAUCGAUCGUCAAAUUUGGGUAUAGGGGCGAAAGACUAAUCGAACCAU